rnacentral:rRNA from 1 species
UACGUAGGGGGCUAGCGUUGUCCGGAAUCAUUGGGCGUAAAGCGCGUGUAGGCGGUCCGGUAAGUCCGCUGUGAAAGUCGGGGGCUCAACCCUCGGAUGCCGGUGGAUACUGUCGGGCUUGAGUACGGAAGAGGCGAGUGGAAUUCCUGGUGUAGCGGUGAAAUGCGCAGAUAUCAGGAGGAACACCAAUAGCGAAGGCAGCUCGCUGGGACGGUAUUGACGCUAAGGCGCGAAAGCGUGGGGAGCAAACAGG